rnacentral:rRNA from 1 species
UACCGCGGUUAUACGAGAGGCCCAAGUUGAUAGAUACCGGCGUAAAGAGUGGUUAAGGACAAACUACUACUAAAGCUGAACACUUACAAAGCUGUUAUACGCUCCCGAAAGUAAGAAAGACAACUACGAAAGUGGCUUUACACUACCUGAACCCACGAAAGCCAAGGCA